ensembl:lncRNA
AUUACGACCUGACCGCUGUAAUUGUGUUUGAGCGGCGGAGGAACUGAGUUAGACAACAAGUGGAACAAAUUUGAAAGCAAAGGGAAGCAGGCACCUCCGCAAAAACACCUCCUGACCCCUUAUGAGGACACAAAGAGGUUGCCGGUGGAUAAGACCGAAAGAGAGGCCGCAGGCACUGAAAGCGUGCAUACGGAAGGACACUGUGUUGAUAUAUAAGGAGCCUCUCUUACUCAGAGGACACAGAGUCAGGCUCCAGUGAUGAUCCUCACAUCCUUUACAGGAAGGAGCACCCCGCAACUGGAGUACCACCUAAACACACAUCUGCACACCUGGAUGGACCGCUGCAGAAAGCAGGAGCACUUUUUCGCGUGUCUUCAUCUUCCACACUUGGGAACGUAUUGACAGAGCGCAGUGUCUCACACAGCAUCUGUGAGAGCCUGAGGGUGGAGAAGAAGGUCAGCCUUCGUAAGUGGUGUGAAUGAGGACUA